GUAGAAGAUCUGUAGAGGUGCCUGGGGGGAUUGAGGUAGCAGACCUGUAGGGGUGCCUGGGGGAUUGAGGUAGCAGAUCUGUAGGGGUGCCUGGGGGAUUGAGGUAGGAGAUCUGUAGGGGUGCCUGGGGGGAUUGAGGUAGCAGAUCUGUAGGGGUGCCUGGGGGGAUUGAGGUAGAAGAUCUGUAGGGGUGCCUGGGGGGAUUGAGGUAGCAGAUCUGUAGGGGUGCCUGGGGGAUUGAGGUAGAAGAUCUGUAGGGGUGCCUGGGGGGAUUGAGGUAGCAGAUCUGUAGGGGUGCCUGGGGGGAUUGAGGUAGCAGAUCUGUAGGGGUGCCUGGGGGGAUUGAGGUAGCAGAUCUGUAGGGGUGCCUGGGGGAUUGAGGUAGCAGAUCUGUAGGGGUGCCUGGGGGAUUGAGGUAGCAGAUCUGUAGGGGUGCCUGGGGGGAUUGAGGUAGCAGAUCUGUAGGGGUGCCUGGGGGGGAUUGAGGUAGCAGAUCUGUAGGGGUGCCUGGGGGAUUGAGGUAGAAGAUCUGUAGGGGUGCCUGGGGGGAUUGAGGUAGCAACUCUGUAGGGGUGCCUGGGGGAUUGAGGUAGAAGAUCUGUAGGGGUGGUGCCUGGGGGGAUUGAGGUAGCAGAACUGUAGGGGUGCCUGGGGGAUUGAGGUAGCAGAUCUGUAGGGGUGCCUGGGGGGAUUGAGGUAGCAGAUCUGUAGGGGUGCCUGGGGGGAUUGAGGUGGCCGUUUCUAUCUCCCACCAUUCACUAUGAAGACAUUUUGUAGAGCACUUGUUUCCCCGCAGACUAAAAGCUUUAAAUAAAAUGAUAAAUGGGAAUCGACUGGUUUUUAGCUGUGGUCAUAUUUGAG
rnacentral:lncRNA from 1 species